rnacentral:tRNA from 4 species
GCGGACGUGGCGGAACUGGUAGACGCGCAGGUCUCAGAAGCCUGUUCUGGUUACAGAGUGGAAGUUCGAUUCUUCUCGUCCGCACCA